UGGCCGAACUGUUCCGAGUUGUUACGUAUAAUAAAAAUCAAUGCUAAUUUAGUAUUUCCACGAAUGAAAUAGAAAAACGAAACUAAAUUUCAUUUUAAUUUUAGUCUGAGAACAUCUGAAAGAAAAUGGUCGUUCUGUACAGACUUUUAAGACCGGGUGAAGAUCCAAGUGUAGGCCUCUAUCCGAAAGACCCUCUUUCUCACGUCACUGUAGAAGACCACGUGACCUAUGGAUCUGGAGGAUCUGAAUCACGAUUUAUUUCAUGCUGCAAGUCAGAAUCAGCAAUUCAAAGAUUUGUUGCUAAAACGUGGGCAUCGUCGAUAAGGAUUGUACAAAUUGAUAUCGAUGAAGGAGACCCAGAGAUUAUUGAAAUCAUCGAUUUGACAGAUCCAGAAACCGUGGACGCAUAUUUUCAGAAAGACAACGAGAAAGGAAGAAAUUUUGCGUCAUGGGCUGAGGAAGUUUUAGUUGUCGGCAAAAUUCGACCAGAAUGCAUAACAGAACUAUAAGAGUGAAGAAAUAUGUAGAACAUAUUGUAGAGGAACUCAGUUUACAUGAGCUACGACUUCUUUGUUUUUGAAUUACAUUGAUUUGAUAAAGAUAAUUUUUAGUAAAAAAAAAAACUAUAUAAAAAAAUGUAGGUUUUCUAAGUAUUUUUUAUUGUUGGGGAAUUGCAAUGUGAUAUUAUAUUUGCUAUAUUUUCUGAUAUAUCCGUUUUUCAUCUUCGGUUGUGAAGAGGUAAAUUUUAUAACUUUUAUUAUACCAAUGUUUUAAAAAAAGCCAAUGCAUGCAAUUGAAAAUGUGUAUUUUUUAUGGUUCAUGUGAAAUUUUAUAAGUAAAUUAUAUAUACAUAAUUCUUUAUUUUGUUGAUGAAUAAUUGCUGACUUUAAUAACUUUCUGUAUUUUGAUUUUUCUUGUAUUUCUGUGAAAUUCAAAAGUGCAUAUCUUUUUUUUUUAGUAAAUACA